AUUGAACGCUGGCGGCAGGCCUAACACAUGCAAGUCGAACGAGUGGCGGACGGGUGAGUAAUGUCUGGGAAACUGCCCGAUGGAGGGGGAUAACUACUGGAAACGGUAGCUAAUACCGCAUACCAUCGGAUGUGCCCAGAUGGGAUUAGCUAGUGGGUGGGGUAACGGCUCACCAAGGCGACGAGCCCUAGCUGGUCUGAGAGGUGGACCAGCAAAACUGGAACUGGGACACGGUCAAGACUCCUACGGGAGGCAGCAGUAGGGAAUAUUGCACAAUGGGCGAAAGCCUGAUGAAGCAACGCCGCGUGUGUGAAGAAGGCCUUCGGAUUGUAAAGUACUUUCAUCAAGGAGGCGUUACUUGAAGAAGAAGCACCGGCUAACUCCGUGCCAGCAGCCGCGGUAAUUC
rnacentral:rRNA from 1 species